rnacentral:rRNA from 1 species
GAUGAACGCUGGCGGCGUGCCUAGUACAUGCAAGUCGAGCGAACAGACGAGGAGCUUGCUCCUUUGACGUUAGCGGCGGACGGGUGAGUAACACGUAGGUAACCUACCUAUAAGACUGGGAUAACUUCGGGAAACCGGAGCUAAUACCGGAUAAUAUUUCGAACCGCAUGGUUCGAUAGUGAAAGAUGGCUUUGCUAUCACUUAUAGAUGGACCUGCGCCGUAUUAGCUAGUUGGUAAGGUAACGGCUUACCAAGGCAACGAUACGUAGCCGACCUGAGAGGGUGAUCGGCCACACUGGAACUGAGACACGGUCCAGACUCCUACGGGAGGCAGCAGUAGGGAAUCUUCCGCAAUGGGCGAAAGCCUGACGGAGCAACGCCGCGUGAGUGAUGAAGGUCUUCGGAUCGUAAAACUCUGUUAUUAGGGAAGAACAAACGUGUAAGUAACUGUGCACGUCUUGACGGUACCUAAUCAGAAAGCCACGGCUAACUACGUG